rnacentral:rRNA from 1 species
GACGAACGCUGGCGGCAUGCCUAAUACAUGCAAGUCGAGCGAACAGAUGAAGUGCUUGCACUUCUGACGUUAGCGGCGAACGGGUGAGUAACACGUAAGGAAUCUACCUAUAAGCGGGGGAUAACAUUCGGAAACGGGUGCUAAUACCGCAUAAUAUCUUCUUCCGCAUGGAAGAAGAUUGAAAGACGGCUCUGCUGUCACCUAUAGAUGACCUUGCGGUGCAUUAGUUAGUUGGUGGGGUAACGGCCUACCAAGACGAUGAUGCAUAGCCGACCUGAGAGGGUGAUCGGCCACAUUGGGACUGGGACACGGCCCAAACUCCUACGGGAGGCAGCAGUAGGGAAUCUUCCGCAAUGGGCGAAAGCCUGACGGAGCAAUGCCGCGUGAGUGAAGAAGGCCUUCGGGUCGUAAAACUCUGUUAUAAGAGAAGAACAAAUUGUAGAGUAACUGCUACAGUCUUGACGGUAUCUUAUCAGAAAGCCACGGCUAACUACGUGCCAGCAGCCGCAGUAA